CUACUAUAGUGUAGUAUUUUUUUGAUUACUAUUAUUUUUUAUAGUUAAAGUAAUCGUGUUAUAAAGUAGCCAUAAAAAGCUUGGUUCUGACUUUUUAUAUUAUAAAGAACUAAAAAAUACACAUGGUUUUUAUUGAUAGAGGCGAGGCAGGAAAUUAAAGUAUUAUUAAAUUGGACUAAUUAAAUUUUACUUUUUUCUGAGGUAUUAUAGAUCUAUAUUAUGCCUUGAAAAGUCCCGCUAACACCAGUGCUGAAGGUUAAUCAAAAAGCGAAAGCUUGUACUAAUUUAGUUCAACAAAGCCUGGUUAACUUGGUGCCAGCAUCCGCGGUUAAACCAAGAAGGCUAAGUAAUAUCAAGACGGUAAAAAGACAGUUAGAUAAUAUAUUUUUAAUAAGUUUACUUAAUUUCUAUAAAAGGGUAGAAUUUGCAUAUAGAUAUAAAAUCUAAAAAUAACUUAUGUAUUGAAUCUGUGAUAGCCUAGGGGGAAACUGGGAUUAGAUACCCCAUUAUUCUUGGCCGUAAAAAAAUUAAAUUUACCAGAGUACUAUGAACUAAGAAGUUUAAAACUCAAAGAACUUGGCGGUGUUUUAGACCUCUCAGGGGAACCUGUCUCAUAAUCGACAAUCCACGCUAUACCUAACCCUACUUUGCUUUUACAGUUUGUAUACCGUCGUCGUCAGGUAACUUUUAAAAAUUUAGAAGUUAGCAAGAAAGCUACGUGAGCUUAUACGUCAGAUCAAGGUGCAGCUUAUACUAGGGAGAGGAUGGGUUACAAUUAUAAAAUUAUAACUACGAGAUAACUAUAAUAAUAUAUAAUUAUAAGGAGGACUUGAAAGUAAAGAGAACUAUAAAAACAUUUUGAAUAAGGCUCUGAAACGUGCACACAUCGCCCGUCGCUCUCGUUGAAAAAUGAGAUAAGUCGUAACAUAGCAGGGGUAAUGGAAAUUGUCCCUAAGC
rnacentral:rRNA from 1 species